CCUGUGCCCUGUGCGCUGCUAGGAAAGAGCUGCCUUUCUUUGGACCACCCAGGAAGAAGAGGCAGAAAAGUGCACCUCAGCAUGACUGGUCGCUUCCUAGAGAUGAUUUGGAGAGGGACCAGAGCCAAUAGGUUUGAAAAUGGACUGGCAGGGGAAUCAUUUCACAACAUUUAAGACAUGCAAAGGGAAUGAGACAACUUCAUCCAUCCACACCUCAAGCAAGUCCUUGCCAGGGCAGCUGCCUUACUGCCUGACAGAUGGUCCUACUGUCCAUCUCACCACUUGAUGGCCUCUGGACACAGAAAGUNAGCAUCAUUCCACCAGAGCUUGGAUUUAUACACAAGGAGAUGGCCAGCCAGCUGGGGCUGAUUGAUGCCCUCUUCCCAGGCUCUGGAGCUAUGGCAGAACUCUCAGGAGCACUGUGUGUACUGAGUGACUGGGAAGUCCCCUUGUGGAACAGACUUGCUCUCCAUAACCACAUCCUGUGUCUCUGCCUCUCUUUCGUUGUGAAUACCAUACACCUGUUGGAUUUCCACUGGAGGUCUUUGCCAACCCAGAAGAGGGAGUGUCCUAUGUCAGUGCUAAGCCUCGUCACCACGAUUUUCAGAUGUGCCUUGUGGGUUCUGCACACUUCAGGAACAGCCAUUCUCACUGCCAAUCUCACUGUCUCCCAACAGGCUCAGCAAUGUGAUUUUUUUUCCCCACAGAUCAUUGUCUCCUGGCUCUGGGCUUUGCCUUUGUGUGUAUGUAUUUGUA